rnacentral:tRNA from 1 species
UGGCUCAGUGAGUAGAGCGUCAGCUUGUGGACUGAAGGGUCCUGGGUUCGAUUCCCAG